AAUCAACGCUGGCGGCGUGCCUCAGACAUGCAAGUCGAACGCGAAAGUCCCCUUCGGGGGGCAAGUAGAGUGGCGCACGGGUGAGUAACACGUAGGUAAUCUACCUUCGGAUGGGGAAUAACAAUCGGAAACGGUUGCUAAUACCGCAUAAUGCAGCGGCACCUAAUGGUGACAGUUGUUAAAGCGGGGGAUCGAAAGACCUCGCGUCUGAAGAGGAGCCUGCGGCGGAUUAGCAGUUGGUAAGGUAACGGCUUACCAAGGCAACGAUCCGUAGCCGGCCUGAGAGGGCGGUCGGCCACACUGACACUGACAUACGGGUCAGACUCCUACGGGAGGCAGCAGUCGGGAAUUUGGGCAAUGGGCGAAAGCCUGACCCAGCAACGCCGCGUGAAGGAUGAAA
rnacentral:rRNA from 1 species